CCUACGGGAGGCAGCAGUAGGGAAUAUUGCUCAAUGGGGGAAACCCUGAUGCAGCAACGCCGCGUGUAUGAUGAAGGUUUUAGGAUUGUAAACUCCUUUUGUGAGAGAAGAUAAUGACGGUAUCUCUCGAAUAAGCACCGGCUAACUCCGUGCCAGCAGCCACGGUAAUACGGAGGGUGCAAGCGUUACUCGGAAUAACUGGGCGUAAAGAGUGCGCAGGCGGGUUUGUAAGUCAGAUGUGAAAUCCUGGAGCUUAACUAAAGAACUGCAUUUGAAACUAUGAGUCUAGACUGUGGGAGAGGUAGGUGGAAUUCUUGGUGUAGGGGUAAAAUCCGUAGAUAUCAAGAGGAAUACUCAUUGCGAAGGCGACCUACUGGAACAUUACUGACGCUCAGGUACGAAAGCGUGGGGAGCAAACAGGAUUAGAUACCCUUGUAGUC
rnacentral:rRNA from 1 species